rnacentral:rRNA from 1 species
UACGUAGGGUGCAAGCGUUAAUCGGAAUUACUGGGCGUAAAGCGUGCGCAGGCGGUUUUGUAAGUCUGUCGUGAAAUCCCCGGGCUCAACCUGGGAAUUGCGAUGGAGACUGCAAGGCUAGAAUCUGGCAGAGGGGGGGGUAGAAUUCCACGUGUAGCAGUGAAAUGCGUAGAGAUGUGGAGGAACACCGAUGGCGAAGGCAGCCCCCUGGGUCAAGAUUGACGCUCAUGCACGAA